rnacentral:rRNA from 1 species
CAACAGCUAGAGUUUGAUCCGUGGCUCAGGACGAACGCUGGCGGCGUGCCUAACACAUGCAAGUCGAGCGGGGACAUGCGACGGAACCGGAAGUUUUCGGAUGGAAGGCGAAGAUGUAUGUUCUAGCGGCGGACGGGUGAGUAACGCGUGAGCAACCUGUCCUUCACAGGGGGAUAACACAGCGAAAGUUGUACUAAUACCGCAUAAGACCACACCGGGACAUCCCGGAGGGGUCAAAGGAGCAAUCCGGUGAAGGGUGGGCUCGCGUCCGAUUAGAUAGUUGGUGAGGUAACGGCCCACCAAGUCGACGAUCGGUAGCCGACCUGAGAGGGUGAUCGGCCACAUUGGGACUGAGACACGGCCCAAACUCCUACGGGAGGCAGCAGUGGGGAAUAUUGGGCAAUGGGGGAAACCCUGACCCAGCAACGCCGCGUGAGGGAAGAAGGUUUUCGGAUCGUAAACCUCUGUCCUUGGUGAAGAGGAAGAGACGGUAGCCAAGGAGGAAGCCCCGGCUAACUACGUGCC